rnacentral:rRNA from 1 species
AUGAAAGCAGGUCAAGAUAUUCCUCAAAGAACUUCCACCAUGUGCAGUAAUUACAUCACCAACCCAGUGAUUACAGGUAGGUGGACUGAACUGUCAGUUGAUUGGUAUGAAACAACAAAAAAGAAGGCACCAGGUGGGAAUGAAAUACCUUGCAAUUGUGAUAUUUUUAUUGAUGAAAGUUCUCUGGAAAAUGAGCAAAUAAAGAACGGACACUUUAUGAUACUAUUAUUCAUUUCCAGUAUUAAUAUUUUGAUAAUGGGCGCUUCUAUUUAUAGAAGGGGAGCCUCGGCGCAGCGGUAA